rnacentral:tRNA from 1 species
GGCGGCGUAGCUUAGUUGGUUAUAGCGGCUGGUUCAUACCCGGCAGGUCGUUGGUUCGAGUCCGACCGCCGCUACCA